rfam:Gossypium hirsutum cultivar TM-1 chromosome 22, whole genome shotgun sequence
UUGCUGUGAUGAUUAUAUUAGAAUUUAUGAAAAUUUAAUGAAACAUCGACAACCAUGUCGAUCUGAGCGGUUACCUGAGCAA